rnacentral:rRNA from 1 species
UACGGAGGAUGCGAGCGUUAUCCGGAUUUAUUGGGUUUAAAGGGUGCGUAGGCGGCUUUUUAAGUCAGCGGUGAAAUUUUGCAGCUUAACUGUAACAGUGCCGUUGAUACUGGGGAGCUAGGAUUUGGUUGCUGUGGGUGGAAUGUGUGGUGUAGCGGUGAAAUGCUUAGAGAUCACACAGAAUAUCGAUUGCGAAGGCAGCUCACAAAGCCAAGAUUGACGCUGAGGCACGAAAGCGUGGGUAGCGAACAGGAUUAGA